rnacentral:rRNA from 1 species
CAGUAGCCGCGGGAAUACGUAGGGUGCAAGCGUUAAUCGGAAUUACUGGGCGUAAAGCGUGCGCAGGCGGUUAUAUAAGUCAGAUGUGAAAUCCCCGGGCUCAACCUGGGAACUGCAUUUGAGACUGUAUGGCUAGAGUGUGUCAGAGGGGGGUAGAAUUCCACGUGUAGCAGUGAAAUGCGUAGAGAUGUGGAGGAACACCGAUGGCGAAAGCGGCUCUCUGGCUUGUAACUGACGCUGAGGCUCGAAAGCGUGGGGAGCAAACAGGAUUAGAUACCCCUGUAGUCCCUGUCUCUUAUAC